GAGAAACGCUAUGGACUUGGCUGAUGGGGGAAGAGCAUGCAGUCGCUCCCUGCCCCCGCGUGUACCUUCUGGGGAGGAAAGUGUGGAAGAGAGAGGUGUCCCUGUGCAAGAUGACUGGUCGAUGGCUCCCGACGACGACAAGGGGAGGCACAGACUUCAGUCAGCACAUCCUGCCCGAGGCCGAGCAUCUGCUGGAGCUGCACAAAGACCGCAGCUCAGGUGACACAGGUCACCCAGCAGCUGUGACACGGGGAUACCCCAGGUUUCCCCAGGAUUACAAACAGCUUUCCUUCUGAAGGAAAAGAACACAAAACCAGCAGAGGCCCCGCUGCCGGCUGGGCUUCUCCACCUGGAUGGCAGGAAACUUGGAAAAUACAAAGAAGUGGAAAGAAG